CUUUGGAUGCUGCGGUUUUUCUUCGAGAACCAUUGAGGAUUCAUGAAGCGAUGCGGUACUCUUUAAUGGCUGGUGGGAAGCGUGUUCGCCCUGUUCUUUGUAUUGCUGCGUGUGAACUCGUUGGUGGGAAUGAAUCCAUGGCGAUGCCGGCGGCUUGCGCGGUUGAGAUGAUUCACACAAUGUCUUUGAUCCAUGACGAUCUUCCUUGUAUGGAUAACGACGAUUUGCGCCGAGGAAAACCCACCAAUCACAAGGUAUUCGGCGAGGAUGUUGCUGUUCUCGCAGGUGAUGCGCUUUUAGCAUUCGCUUUUGAGCAUAUCGCUGUAU
rnacentral:lncRNA from 1 species